AUUGAACGCUGGCGGCAGGCCUAACACAUGCAAGUCGAACGAGUGGCGGACGGGUGAGUAAUAUGUGGGAAACUGCCCCAUGGGGGGGGAGAACAACUGGAAACGGUGGCUAAUACCGCAUACCCUCUGAUGUGCCCAGAUGGGAUGAGCUGGUAGGUGGGGUAACGGCUCACCUAGGCGCCGAGCCCUAGCGGGGCUGUGAGGAUGAGCAGCCACACUGGGACGGAGACACGGUCCAGACUCCUACGGGAGGCAGCAGUGGGGAAUAUUGCACAAUGGGCGCAAGCCUGAUGCAGCCAUGCCGCGUGUAUGAAGAAGGCCUUCGGGUUGUAAAGUACUUUCAGCGGGGAGGCGUUACCCGCAGAAGAAGCACCGGCUAACUCCGUGCCAGCAGCCGCGGUAAUUC
rnacentral:rRNA from 1 species